rnacentral:rRNA from 1 species
AUUGAACGCUGGCGGCAUGCUUUACACAUGCAAGUCGAACGGUAACAGGUUAAGCUGACGAGUGGCGAACGGGUGAGUAAUGCAUCGGAACGUGCCCGGUCGUGGGGGAUAACGCAGCGAAAGCUGCGCUAAUACCGCAUACGAUCUGAGGAUGAAAGCGGGGGACCGUAAGGCCUCGCGCGAUCGGAGCGGCCGAUGUCAGAUUAGGUAGUUGGUGGGGUAAAGGAUCACCAAGCCAACGAUCUGUAGCUGGUCUGAGAGGACGACCAGCCACACUGGGACUGAGACACGGCCCAGACUCCUACGGGAGGCAGCAGUGGGGAAUUUUGGAAAAUGGGCGAAAGCCUGAACCAGCAAUGCCGCGUGCAGAAAGAAGGCCUUCGGGUUGUAAACUGCUUUUGUACGGAGCGAAAAGGUCUCCUCUAAUACAGGGGGCUCAUGACGGUACCGUAAGAAUAAGCACCGGCUAACUACGUGCCAGCAGCCGCGGUAA